UAGCUCAGUCAGUACAGCAUGAGACUCUUAAUCUCAGGGUUAUGGGUUCAAAUCCCGAACUGGGCAAAA